GGCGUAGCUCAGCUGGUUAGAGUGCCGGAUUGUGGAUCCGAAGGUCGUGGGUUCGAACCCCACCUC
rnacentral:tRNA from 1 species